rnacentral:lncRNA from 1 species
GAGAGGGACAAGUAUCAGACCGCCUGCGAGAGCACUGUCUUCUUGGAGUGUUCGCCAUGGCCGGAGUCCCCUGCAAGGCCCCGGCCACCUCUCAGCUCUCUGGCUCUGACCUCUCCCCACUCCUGCAGGCUCUUGUCCCCAGAAAGGCUCUGUUCCUCACCACCAUUCGCUCUGGAUACCUUGGGGUGUAGCCCAGUUGAGGAUCUGAACCAAAAAGCCCCCAUCUCAGAGACACAGCAAUGGUUGCAUCAGCACUGGUUCUCCAGCUACUGCCGGAUGCUGGCCAACUUCACUGGUCUGGAUCUGCUGAAGCUUACAUGCCAGGACCUUAUCCAAAUCUGCGGGGCUGCUGAUGGGAUCCGCCUUUUCAAUACUCUUAGAGCCAGGUGCUGGACACUGCCAACCAGGGUCCCCUUCCCACUGUAGUGGCCCUUACUAACUUAGCUAGCAGGUAGGAAUCUAGUCCUCUUUUUCCAUACAGAAAACCACUUUUUUUUUUUUUUUUUUUUCCUGAGAUGGAGUUUCGCUCUUUUGCCCAGGCUGGAGUGAAGUGGUGAAGUGGCACGAUCUCAGUUACCGCACCAGGCCCAGAAAACCACUUUUAUAUUAAACAGUAAACGCUUUCUUAAAAGA